rnacentral:lncRNA from 1 species
GAAGAGAGGUGGGUCGUCAGAAAAAAGCAGAGAAGCGUAAAGAUUACAUGCUAGUACUAGUCUUACGGCAUGACAUCGACAGUAAUCGUCUGUUCGGCUGUUCCAUCAAUGCAGCUCCCAGCUGGGAUCGGACAAUUUCAUCAGCGUAUGGAGUAGAGAGAGGUGAGACACUUGGACUGGCUCGUCUGCAUCCUUGAAACACAACGAAAUGACGCCCAAUGGGGG